UCCUAAUUCUAUCAACCAAGGCGAGUGAAGAAGCUCAAUGUGUUUGGUCUGCAUCAUUGACAUGAAUUUCCCGCUGUAUACAGAUCCAUGUACCUGAAACAAAGUAUAAUCAAAGUGUUGGGCUUGUCUGAAGAGGAAACAUACGUGAUGCGAUAAGUAUCUGAAUACCCCUUGACCCGUAUGAAGAGCAUGCAGGUGUUUAACGCUCAGGCUAAAGAAACUUGCUAUAUCCGAAGCUUCCUUCAUCAGUUCAGAAACAAACUUCUGCUCGCACACUGCAAAAAAAAAACACAGAAACAUUGUUGAGAUUGCAAUAUUUACCUUAAAAUAGAAGUGUCUAGGUCUAGGCUAAACCAGAUACUGUGGUUUUGUUCAAAUUGGGUUGCAGAUGGAUUGCUAGAUAGUUAAGUAAUUCAGUCCAAGUAAUUUUGUUGCGACAAUUCCUUGCCUAAAUCGAGCCACAUCAAUUCCUAAAAACUAUUAACACCUUCCUACAUAAAUCUUACAAUCACGGCCCAAGAAAAUCCAACUAAUCCAAGAAAAACAAUGCAGCAAACCUUUUCCUCAAUUUGUUAAACCUAGUUUAUUGUUCCAAAUAGAAACACCAAUGUAACUGGUAAAUGAUUAUAGCUCUUAACCACGGAGAGCUAGAGAAAGGAACUUUGAUCCUGCUAUAUGAACAUAAAUUCUAUAACUAUCCAAGAAUACAAGAAAAUUAACAACAUACAACUCAAAUAGUCAGUGAAAUGUCAAGAUUCCAUCUUUUUUCAGAUGAACCAGCAAAAAGAGGUAAAAUAUAUGGAAUGAUAUGAUUACAGACCUGGGCAAGCUUCACAUUUACAAAUCUCAGAUGAAAUUUGUCCAUCUUCAGCUUCAUCUGCAGAAUUAGAGCAACCAUCCUUCAAAGCCCUACAACCUUUGAGAACCUUUUUAAGCCUUUUGUAUUCAACGUGAGAGGAAUUGU